GACGAACGCUGGCGGCGUGCCUAAUACAUGCAAGUAGAACGCUGAAGGAGGAGCUUGCUUCUCUGGAUGAGUUGCGAACGGGUGAGUAACGCGUAGGUAACCUGCCUGGUAGCGGGGGAUAACUAUUGGAAACGAUAGCUAAUACCGCAUAAGAGUAGAUGUUGCAUGACAUUUACUUAAAAGGUGCAAUUGCAUCACUACCAGAUGGACCUGCGUUGUAUUAGCUAGUUGGUGAGGUAACGGCUCACCAAGGCAACGAUACAUAGCCGACCUGAGAGGGUGAUCGGCCACACUGGGACUGAGACACGGCCCAGACUCCUACGGGAGGCAGCAGUAGGGAAUCUUCGGCAAUGGACGGAAGUCUGACCGAGCAACGCCGCGUGAGUGAAGAAGGUUGUCGGAUCGUAAAGCUCUGUUGUAAGAGAAGAACGAGUGUGAGAGUGGAAAGUUCACACUGUGACGGUAUCUUACCAGAAAGGGACGGCUAACUACGUG
rnacentral:rRNA from 1 species